GUUUGUGUCCCAGCUACUCCAGGAGGCUGAGGUGGGAGGAUCGCUUGAGCCCAGGAGUUCUGGGCUGUAGUGUGCUAUGCUGGUCGGGUGUCUGCACUAAGUUCAGCACCAAUAUGGUAACCUCCCAGGAGCAGGGGACCACCAGGUUGCCUAAGGAGGGGUGAACCUGCCCAGGUCGGAAACAGAGCAGGUCAAAACUCCCGUGCUGAUCAGUAGUGGAAUCAUGCCUGUGAAUAGCCACUGCACUUCAGCCUGGGCAACAUAGCGAGACCCCGUCUCU
rnacentral:SRP_RNA from 1 species